ACCCUGCCGGGCGGUAAUGCCGCCGCCGCCCGAGCGCGGGCGCUCUCUCCCCCUCUACAUCUCCCGUCCUCCUUCCUCUCCUCCUGGUGUCGCCCGUAAUCUUGCUGUCACCACUCUACGUACCAUCUGCUGCCCCUCCCCAAACCCUUAGCCGCUAGGGUGGAGGUAGCGGCCGUGGCGGAGCAACGGUGCCUGACAUCGCACGCCGCCACCUCAGCUUCCCACGAGCAGAGAGCGAACACGCGCCGCCGCCGAUGCCCCCGCGCUCCCGCCGCCGUCGAACGGGGACGGCAACGCGUCCUCCAGAAGCUGCUGCUCUCUUAUCCUGCUUCCUAGGCUCCUCCCUAACGCCGCCAAGGACGGCACCCCUUCAUCCAGCGCCCUCUGCUCCUCGACCUCGAGCACCACUUCUCACAGCUCGUGGAAGCGCUGCUGCUGUCCCUGCAGGCACCGAAGUGACCGUCUUCCAGCAUCCUAGCCCAGCUAGCUGCUCGUGGAGGAGCUACUGGCGCCGGUGCUGCGCCCCUGUGCAGGUUCCCAUGCAGCAUAGCGUGCUGGUUACCACCCCAGCAGCUGCAGCGGCCGUCGGCAUGGGCGACGCUCAGUAGCUGCUCGAGGAAAUGCCUACAAGAAGGAAGGGAAGAGAAGGGAUGGGCAUACCUGGUGGUGCUCGUCACCGGCAAAGGGCCCGGUGAAGACGUCGCGAGGGGGCGCCGCUGCUCGCCCAGUCGUCGCCGCCAGGAAAAGGAAGAGAAGACCAAGUGAGAAGAGAGAGGGGAACGGGGGAAAGAGAGAGACGAACGCCCAGGCGCCCAGCAGGCAGCGGCCACCGAGCCGCGAUGCGCUGGGCCUCCCUCGUACAGAGGAGGUGGGCUGAGGCCUGAGAGAUUCGGCUCAGGGCAAGGAUAGAGAUUAGGAGUUGCUUUUUCUUAUUUGAUUUAAUUUUAGAGAUUCAAAACUUUGUUUGAACUCCAUUUGCUUCAAAGUGCCGAGGCGAGUGAUGAAUCUUAAA